rfam:Oryza sativa Japonica Group DNA, chromosome 3, cultivar: Nipponbare, complete sequence.
AAUAAGUGCAGUCAUGAGUUUCAGCGCCCAACUUUGAUCGUCCGUCUUAUUUGAAUUUUUUUUUAUAAUUAGCAAUUUUGUUGUUAUAAGAUGAUAAAACAUGAAUACUACUUUACUCGUGAAUUAUGUUUUUAAUUUUUUUUCAAAAAAUUUUCAAAUAAGACGAGUGGUCAAAGUUGUGCGCGGAAAACCAUGGCUGCACUUAUU